GACGAACCGUGCGAGCGUUGUUCGGAAUCACUGGGCUUAAAGCGCGUGUAGGCGGGAGGGCACGUCCGUCGCUGAAAUCCCCCGGCUCAACCGGGGAACGGGCACGGAUACGACCUUCCUGGAGGGGCGUAGGGGGACCUGGAACUUCCGGUGGAGCGGUGAAAUGCGUUGAGAUCGGAAGGAACGCCCGUGGCGAAAGCGAGGUCCUGGACGCCUACUGACGCUGAGACGCGAAAGCCAGGGGAGCGAACGGG
rnacentral:rRNA from 1 species